UACAGGGGGCGCGAGCGUUGCUCGGAAUCACUGGGCGUAAAGCGAACGCAGGCGGACUGUUAAGUCGGGUGUGAAAGCCCGGGGCUCAACCCCGGAAUUGCAUUCGAAACUGGCAGUCUUGAGUACGGGAGAGGGGAGUGGAAUUCCUGGUGUAGAGGUGAAAUUCGUAGAUAUCAGGAGGAACACCGGUGGCGAAAGCGGCUCCCUGGCCCGAUACUGACGCUCGAUGAUUCGAAAGCGUGGGGAGCAAACAGG
rnacentral:rRNA from 1 species